CGUGACCAACCUGCCCCAUGCUCCAGAAUAGCUCUUGGAAACGGGUGGUAAUGCUGGAUGCUCCAACUUGACGCAUGUCUUGUUGGGAAAGUGUUUAGUGGCAUGGGAUGGGGUCGCGUCCUAUCAGCUUGUAGGCGGGGUAAUGGCCCACCUAGGCUUCGACGGGUAGCCGGCCUGAGAGGGCGGACGGCCACAUUGGGACUGAGAUACGGCCCCAGACUCCUACGGGAGGCAGCAGUC
rnacentral:rRNA from 1 species